AUUGAACGCUAGCGGCAUGCUUUACACAUGCAAGUCGAACGAGUGGCGGACGGGUGAGUAAUAUCUCGGAACGUGCCCAGUAGCGGGGGAUAACUACUCGAAACAGUAGCUAAUACCGCAUACUAUUGGAGCGGCCCAUAUGGGAUUAGCUAGUUGGUGGGGUAAAGGCUCACCAAGGCGACGAUCCCUAGCUGGUUUGAGAGGAUGACCAGACACACUGGGACUGAGACACGGCCCAGACUCCUACGGGAGGCAGCAGUGGGGAAUAUUGCACAAUGGGCGCAAGCCGGAUGCAGCCAUGCCGCGUGUAUGAAGAAGGCCCUAGGGUUGUAAAGUACUUUCAGUGGGGAGGCGUUACCGACAGAAGAAGCACCGGCUAACUCCGUGCCAGCAGCCGCGGUAAUAC
rnacentral:rRNA from 1 species